rnacentral:rRNA from 1 species
UUUAGAAAAAAUAUAAAACUAGAUUAAUAUUAGUUAUGUACUUUAAAAUUAAAAAAUUUGGCGGUGAUUUAAUCUUCUCAGAGGAACUUGUUUUUUAAUCGAUAAACCACGAAAAAUCUUACUUGUUUUUGUUAAAUUAAAUUAAUUUAUUAGUUUGUAUACCAUCAUUAUCAGAUAAUUCUAAAAAGAAAAAUUAUUGAAAAUAAAUAUAAUUAUUUAAAUUAGAUCAUGGUGCAGCUUAUAAGCAAGAUAAAAUGAGUUACAAUAAAUUGUUUUAUAAUGAAUUAAUAAAGUAAAAUUAUUAUGAAGGAGGAUUUGAUAGUAUUAUAAUUUUUAAUAAGUUUAUAAGAAAUUGGCUCUAAAUCAUGUACAUAUCGCCCGUCGCUUUCAUUUAUAAAUGAAAUAAGUCGUAACAUA